CUGCAGCCCGAGUGGUGAUCGAUUUUAUUGGGCCUAAAGCAUCCGUAGCCGGCGCUGUAAGUUUUCGGUUAAAUCUGUACGCUCAACGUACAGGCUGCCGGGAAUACUGCAGCGCUAGGGAGUGGGAGAGGUAGACGGUACUCGGUAGGAAGGGGUAAAAUCCUUUGAUCUAUUGAUGACCACCUGUGGCGAAGGCGGUCUACCAGAACACGUCCGACGGUGAGGGAUGAAAGCUGGGGGAGCAAACCGGAUUAGAUACCCGAGUAGUCC
rnacentral:rRNA from 1 species